UACGUAGGGUGCAAGCGUUAAUCGGAAUUACUGGGCGUAAAGCGUGCGCAGGCGGUUGUGUAAGUCAGAUGUGAAAUCCCCGGGCUCAACCUGGGAAUUGCAUUUGAGACUGCACGGCUAGAGUGUGUCAGAGGGGGGUAGAAUUCCGCGUGUAGCAGUGAAAUGCGUAGAGAUGUGGAGGAAUACCGAUGGCGAAGGCAGCCCCCUGGGAUAACACUGACGCUCAUGCACGAAAGCGUGGGGAGCAAACAGG
rnacentral:rRNA from 1 species